CAGGAAGAGAGAAAAUCUCUGAAAUUCACUAGCUGUGACAUUCACUAGCUGUGAAAGUCACAGCUGUGAAAGUCCAUCUAAUUAGGCCAAGAAUUGCAGGAGACGAUAAUCAGCCCUGGCUGAGGGAAGUAAGUGCUGGGGCAGGCGGAGAAGACGAGGGGUCCGCGUCCGACUUCAGCUCUCCUCCAGCCGGUCCCACUGUGUGUCUGGUACCUUUCCCAUCUCACGUUCUCGGCUGGAGUCCUGAGACCCGACGCUCACAGAAACUUCUGACAAAAGGCAAGGAGGGUGCUGCUCUGGAGAAGGUGGAAGAUAAGGCUUGUGCUCAGAACUCCCCUCAGCACCCUGGACAUGUCUUGAGUGAUUCCCAUCACUGGCCAAGGCCCACCUCACUCUACCCUCAUGCUCAGACCUGCAGGACCCCAGCCAGGCCCAGAAGGGAAACACAGCUAUCACUCCUGAGCUUGCUGGACAACAUAUUACAUCCACGUGAAAGUAUGUCCUUGGAGACAUCCAAGCUGACUCUGUCUACAAGGACCUAGAAGCAGCCAAAGAUGCUGCGAAGGAGAAAGGCAAAGGAGCCUGCCAGGGCACCCACAGAGGCAUCGGCAGGUGGGACAUCGAAGUCUCAUCAUGGCUGCCCCUUGGCAGUUCUGGAGUUCUGCAGGUGUUGACACCAGGUCCCAGACCCCCAAGAUCCAUUCAUUGGUUCUUUCGGCUAACUCCAAUUUGUGCAUACCAAAUUCCAGAACAAAAAGAGAACUUGGGCCUGGUGUGCGGAAGUGCUUUGCCCAGUCCCCUAGAAACACAAUGUGAACCAGUGCAUGUUGCCAGCCUGAGCUUUUCAGCCUGAACCUCUGGACUUACACAGGCUCCACCCCUUGCCUGUCCAGGCCUCUAGACAUUCAAGGUCUGGCUCUACAAAGCCGCCCCUGACCUCUUUUAACUGAAGCCAAGCACUGUCUUGGGGAAUUUCUUCUAGCCCUUCCCAAAUUCCACCAGGUAUUUAGUUGUCUGGGUACACAUCUUAUCUGUAAACUUCUGAACAACAGAGAUAUCUUGUUCAUCUGUGCUCACUGACCACCCACUGUCCCCGCCCCCAGCUCCUAGCCCUGUACCUUGCAUACAGCAGACAUUAACCAUUUUCUGGAUCAAAAAUCCAAGAUAAUUACCCCCCCGCCAAGUCCUUCUGAUCAGCCACUAAGGGGUCCUGGCAAAUGGUUGAAGGAGAAGAAAACAAGGCGUGUUUCCAUCUCCUUGGCAACCACGUGUAUAGUUUCACAAGAGAAUGCCAUCAGCGAUGAAGUCAGAGGGUCCUCGGAUAUAAGCUCUUCCCCCAUCCUCACUGGACAUUACCUUAAAGUUCCUCUUACACUUUCUUGGUGACACUUCUGUCCCUCACUCCUACCCAUCCAACAAAAACCUUUGGUUGACACGUUAAACACUUUUUCAAAACCCCAGUUUCCUGAACUCGAGGAAAAACAGGCUUCCCCUGCC
ensembl:lncRNA